UGGGGAAUAUUGGACAAUGGGCGCAAGCCUGAUCCAGCCAUGCCGCGUGAGUGACGAAGGUCUUCGGAUUGUAAAGCUCUUUUGGCGGGGACGAUAAUGACGGUACCCGCAGAAUAAGCCCCGGCUAACUUCGUGCCAGCAGCCGCGGUAAUACGAAGGGGGCUAGCGUUGUUCGGAAUCACUGGGCGUAAAGCGCACGUAGGCGGAUUUGUUAGUCAGGGGUGAAAUCCCGGGGCUCAACCUCGGAACUGCCUCUGAUACUGCAAAUCUCGAGUCCGAUAGAGGUGAGUGGAAUUCCUAGUGUAGAGGUGAAAUUCGUAGAUAUUAGGAAGAACACCAGUGGCGAAGGCGGCUCACUGGAUCGGUACUGACGCUGAGGUGCGAAAGCGUGGGGAGCAAACAGGAUUAGAUACCCAGGUAGUCCCUGAGCGGGCUGGCAAGGCGCAU
rnacentral:rRNA from 1 species